rnacentral:misc_RNA from 1 species
AACAUCGCGCACCUGCGGGAACCUGCGGAGGGAUCAUUACAGAGUUGCAAAACUCCCUAAACCAUUGUGAACGUUACCUAAACCGUUGCUUCGGCGGGCGGCCCGGGUCCUUCCCGGCGCCCAUCGGCCCUCGCGGGCGCCCGCCGGAGGUAAACCAAACUAUUGCAUUGUAUGGCCUCUCUGAGUCUUCUGUACCGAAUAAGUCAAAACUUUCAACAACGGAUCUCAGAUCGGAAGAGC